GCAAUGCAGGACCAAGCAUGCUCAGUGCAAAAGCUUGUCUCCUUUGCCUGUCAAGCCCUGUGUUUGAACUCAUUCCAGAAUACUGGAUUUACUUUUCACAAGGAAAGAAUACCUGACUGGAUUGCAUUUUUUCCUUCUUUCUUCUCUCUUGUAACCAGAAGAUUGGAAACAGUAUUCUUUUAUGAUCAGUUCAGUGUCAGUAAUACAAUGUGCUUGAAUGCAAAUAUGACUAUUCCAAUGGAGAAAGAAGAGGAAACUUUGCUACCUGUGAAGUGAAGACUUCUUCUUAGGUUGCAGUGGCGAUAAAGGCAAUUACAUUUACAGUGUUGUCCGCAGAUAUCAUAAAAAGCCUUUUGCUGUAAGACCUACACCUGAGUGGGAAGCAUGAAUUUUGGGGAGAAUUUUGAAGGCAAAGAUGGACAUUUGAUGCAAG